rnacentral:rRNA from 1 species
UACCAGCACCCCGAGUGGUCGGGACGAUUAUUGGGCCUAAAGCAUCCGUAGCCGGUCCUACAAGUCUUCCGUUAAAUCCACCUGCUUAACAGAUGGGCUGCGGAGGAUACUACAGGGCUAGGAGGCGGGAGAGGCAAGCGGUACUUUAUGGGUAGGGGUAAAAUCCGUUGAUCCAUAGAAGACCACCAGUGGCGAAGGCGGCUUGCCAGAACGCGCUCGACGGUGAGGGAUGAAAGCUGGGGGAGCAAACCGG